GACGAACGCUGGCGGCGUGCUUAACACAUGCAAGUCGAACGAUGAAGCCUAGCUUGCUAGGUGGAUUAGUGGCGAACGGGUGAGUAAUACGUGAGUAACCUACCUUUAACUCUGGGAUAAGCCUGGGAAACUGGGUCUAAUACCGGAUACGACCAAUCUCCGCAUGGGGUGUUGGUGGAAAGCGUUAUGUAGUGGUUAUAGAUGGGCUCACGGCCUAUCAGCUUGUUGGUGAGGUAACGGCUCACCAAGGCGACGACGGGUAGCCGGCCUGAGAGGGUGACCGGCCACACUGGGACUGAGACACGGCCCAGACUCCUACGGGAGGCAGCAGUGGGGAAUAUUGCACAAUGGGCGCAAGCCUGAUGCAGCGACGCCGCGUGAGGGAUGACGGCCUUCGGGUUGUAAACCUCUGUUAGCAGGGAAGAAGAGAGAUUGACGGUACCUGCAGAGAAAGCGCCGGCUAACUACGUGCCAGCAGCCGCGGUAAUACGUAGGGCGCGAGCGUUGUCCGGAAUUAUUGGGCGUAAAGAGCUUGUAGGCGGUUUGUCGCGUCUGCUGUGAAAGGCCGGAGCUUAACUCCGUGUAUUGCAGUGGGUACGGGCAGACUAGAGUGCAGUAGGGGAGACUGGAAUUCCUGGUGUAGCGGUGGAAUGCGCAGAUAUCAGGAGGAACACCGAUGGCGAAGGCAGGUCUCUGGGCUGUAACUGACGCUGAGAAGCGAAAGCAUGGGGAGCGAACAGGAUUAGAUACCCUGGUAGUCCAAGGGCGAAUUCCACAGUGGAUAUCAAGCUUAUCGAUACCGUCGACCUCGAGGGGGGGCCCGGUACCCAGCUUUUGUUUCUCUAUUAAUGAGGGGUUA
rnacentral:rRNA from 1 species